AUGAAAGACAUCGCCCCGAAGAUUUUUGAGCUAUCAAAAAGACGGGGCUGUUCGGUUCAAAAGGCAUUGCAGAAUAAUUUCUGGGUCUAUCAAAUUAACACGGAUGGGAUCACCUCCACUACACAUCUGACCGAGUUCGUCAACCUUUGGGAGAAGAUUUCUACGGUGCACCUAAACCACGACAUGGCUGAUUCUAUUUCCUGAAAACUCACUAACGAUGGCAUUUACUCUGCAUCCUCGGCCUACAAGGCCCAGUUCCUGGGUUUGGUUGACUCCAAUAUGCAACAAUUGGUGUGAAAGAUCUGGGCUCCCCCCAAAUGCAAAUUCUUUGCUUGGCUCGUUAUCAAUAACAGGAUCUAG
rnacentral:rRNA from 1 species